GGACAAGAAGUAACAAUUACAAUUAGUUUCGACCUAAAAAUAGGGCCCUACGCCCCUGUCCU
rnacentral:tRNA from 1 species